UACGGAGGAUGCAAGCGUUAUCCGGAAUCAUUGGGCGUAAAGCGUGCGCAGGUGGCUGUGUAAGUCUGCUGUCAAAGAGCAAAGCUCAACUUUGUAAAGGCAGUGGAAACUACACGGCUAGAGUGCGUUCGGGGCAGAGGGAAUUCCUGGUGUAGCGGUGAAAUGCGUAGAGAUCAGGAAGAACACCGGUGGCGAAAGCGCUCUGCUGGACCUUAACUGACACUGAGGGACGAAAGCUAGGGGAGCGAAUGGG
rnacentral:rRNA from 1 species